rnacentral:rRNA from 1 species
AUACGGAGGAUGCGAGCGUUAUCCGGAUUUAUUGGGUUUAAAGGGUGCGUAGGCUGUGCGUUAAGUCAGGGGUGAAAUGCCGUCGCUCAACGACGGAGCUGCCCUUGAUACUGGCGUGCUGGAGUACGGAUGCCGUUGGAGGAAUGAGUGGUGUAGCGGUGAAAUGCUUAGAUAUCACUCAGAACACCGUUUGCGAAGGCAUCUGACGAAUCCGUCACGGACGCUGAGGCACGAAAGCGUGGGGAUAGAACAGGAUUAGAUACCCUGGUAUUCCACGCCGUAAACGAUGAUGACUAACCGUCGGCGAUAGACAGCCGGUGGCCAAGCGAAAGCGAUAAGUCAUCCACCUGGGGAGUACGUCGGCAACGAUGAAACUCAAAUGAAUUGACGGGG